AUGGCUCAGGACGAACGCUGGCGGCGUGCUUCAUACAUGCAAGUCGAACGAGAAGCUAACUUCGGUUAGUGGAAAGUGGCGGACGGGUGAGUAAAAUGUAGAGAAUCUGCCCUAGAGAGGGGGACAACAGUUGGAAACGACUGCUAAUACCCCAUAUGAGCGUAGCUGAGAUGCUAUUCUUGAAAACUCCGGUGCUCUGGGAUGAGUCUGCAUCUGAUUAGCUAGUUGGCGGUGUAAUGGACCACCAAGGCGACGAUCAGUAGCUGGUUUGAGAGGAUGAUCAGCCACAAUGGGACUGAGACACGGCCCAUACUCCUACGGGAGGCAGCAGUAGGGAAUUUUGCGCAAUGGGGGAAACCCUGACGCAAGCAACGCCGCGUGAUUGAAUAAGCCCUUCGGGGUGUAAAGAUCUGUCAGUAGGGACGAAACUUGACGGUACCUACAGAGGAAGCAUCGGCUAACUCCGUGCCAGCAGCAGC
rnacentral:rRNA from 1 species